GUCAAGUCAUCAUGGCCCUUACGCCCAGGGCUACACACGUGCUACAAUGGCGCUUACAGAGUGUUGCGAGCAGGUGACUGCGAGCCAAUCACAAAAAGAGCGUCUCAGUUCGGAUUGGAGUCUGCAACUCGACUCCAUGAAGCUGGAGUCGCUAGUAAUCCCGGAUCAGCAACGCCGGGGUGAAUACGUUCCCGGGCCUU
rnacentral:rRNA from 1 species